rnacentral:rRNA from 1 species
AGCGAACGCUGGCGGCAGGCCUAACACAUGCAAGUCGAACGAAGCCUUCGGGCUUAGUGGCGGACGGGUGAGUAACACGUGGGAACGUACCUUUUGGUUCGGAAUAACGCAGAGAAAUUUGCGCUAAUACCGAAUGAGCCCUUCGGGGGAAAGAUUUAUCGCCGAAAGAUCGGCCCGCGUUGGAUUAGGUAGUUGGGGUGGUAAAGGCGCACCAAGGCUACGAUCCAUAGCUGGUCUGAGAGGAUGGUCAGCCACACUGGGACUGAGACACGGCCCAGACUCCUACGGGAGGCAGCAGUGGUGAAUCUUGCGCAAGGGGCGAAAGCCUGGCGCAGCCAUGCCGCGUGAAUGAUGAAGGUCUUAGGAUUGUAAAAUUCUUUUCCCAGGGACGUUAAUUACGGUACCUGGAGAAAAAGCCCCGGCUAACUUCGUGCCAGCCGCCGCCGUAAGAC